CCUCUUCUUUCCCGUCUCCAACCCCUCCACCCACCGCGGCGAAUCUGCCCCACUGUGGCCGUCGUCUUCCCGUCGUCUCCAUCCCUCCACGACUCCACCUCUUCUCUCCCGUCUCCAUCCCUCCACCCACCGUUGCGAUUUGCCUAUGACCACCGCGAUUUGCCGCGCCGGCACCCAUCCUCUUCUCUCCCGUCUCCAACCCUCCACCCACCGCCGCAAUCUGCCCAACCGUGCCCGGCCCCGCCCACCGCCGCGAUCUGCCUCGCCGUCUCCUUCCCUCCACCCACCGUGCCUAGCCCACGCAGCGAUCUGCCCCACCGUGCCCCGCCCCUCCCACCGCCAUGAUCUGCUUCACCAGCUCUUCCUUUCCUCCACCGCGAUUCGUCGUCCAGCCUCAAGUGACUCUCUCCUUACCCUGCCGCGGCGAUUUGAAAGCACCCUCAUCGAUUAUCUGACCUUCCCCUCCCCGCCGCCAUCAGCCAUGGAAACAAAUUGAAUGCGUUAGUCAACCAUGGAUUCGCCUUACCGGCACCCACCAAGAAUCGCCGCGCCCCUAGAUCCCCAAAUCUUCACCGCCUCUUUGCGAUUUUCGGCGACCACGGCAGCCAUGGCCGCCAAUCUGCCCCUCGUAUCACCAGAAAACCAGAAAUCGAUCUGCCACCUCCCUUCCCCCAUAUGAUUUUUGGUUCUAGGUGCCUGGUCCAGAACCGCCGCUCGCCAGCCGCUGUGUUGCAGUCGCCCACUCAUAUUCUCACUUCAACUGUAAGUUCUCCGAAUUCUCUCACCCUCCUUUUCAGUUAUGUCAACAGAUUGUUUCCACUUCAUAAUUCCCUUUUCUUUAUGUUACCGAGGUGGAUGGGUUCAAAUCCUUUAUUAUGCCAUAUGUUUACAUGUGAGUCUGUGAUUGAACUGCCCAAUAAACGUCACAUCGUGUUUUUACAAUUCACUGUUGCGGUACCCUUCUUCUUCUUCUUCUUCUUCUUCUUCUUCUAUGGCUGUGUGCCUGCGAUUCACAUUUUUAUUUAUAUUUUUCAUAUUUUUGGUUUAGAUUUUGUUAAUUAACUCUAUGUGAUUUCUUUACUUCCAUGGUUUGGUUUAGAUUUUGUUAAUUAACUCUAUGUGAUUGUUUUACUUCCCUGUUUUGCCGGUUUAAGUGUUCUGUUAGAUUUAAGUGUUGUUAGAUUGUACACGAAUUAUUAUUGUUAGAUUGCAGUCAAUUAAUUAUGCACGGUUUAUGUUUAUAAAAGUUUGGAGUUAUAUAGGAUAGGGACCAAAUGAAAUUCUUGACCUUUAUACUAUAUGUUCUCCAUUUCAACAUUUGACUGCAUAUCAACUACUGCAGUUUUGCAUCUUUGGUUACCCCUUUUCUUUUGUAUUAUCAUUUUAUGUUGGUUGGCUUUGAGUACUUUGAAAGCUUUUUACUUCCUGCAGCUUACAUGUGUGCAUUUGUUGUCGUCGAUCCUGCUAAAAAGUACAUAUCUUCGAUAAUUCCAACAUACAAGGAACUCUCUAUUUCGUGUAUUGCAAACUUUGCAGUUGCUGAGUGUUUAAUCUUGGUUGUUUUGCAGCUUGCGUUGUGGAGCCAUUUUACACUGCAUUAGAGGUAAACAUAGAAAGUCUUUGCUUAUCCUUAGUUGUUAAUGGUGCUUAGGUUCAACAAGUGAGUGCUCUUCUUGAAUCCUGACUCAAUUUGGUGGCUAUGUGUAAAUUAGUUGCUUUGCAUGUUGAAAUUGUAAUGCUUCUGAUUUUUUUUUUGUAGGAUUUUAUUAUUCCAGAUUUGCUUAUCACCGUUUUGGCUGAUAUU